GGCUCGGUAGCUAAGUCGAUAAAGCACUUGUGUAGUAUAUAAGUGUCGUGAAUUAAAAUCUCACUUGAGCUG
rnacentral:tRNA from 1 species